GCUCCGUUAGCUUAGCUAAUAAAGCAGGGGACUCUUAAUCCCAAGGUCCGGCGUUCGAGUCGCCGACGGAGCACCA
rnacentral:tRNA from 1 species